rnacentral:rRNA from 1 species
UGGGGAAUAUUGCACAAUGGGCGCAAGCCUGAUGCAGCCAUGCCGCGUGUGUGAAGAAGGCCUUCGGGUUGUAAAGCACUUUCAGCGAGGAGGAAGGUGGUGAACUUAAUACGUUCAUCAAUUGACGUUACUCGCAGAAGAAGCACCGGCUAACUCCGUGCCAGCAGCCGCGGUAAUACGGAGGGUGCAAAGCGUUAAUCGGAAUUACUGGGCGUAAAGCGCACGCAGGCGGUUUGUUAAGUCAGAUGUGAAAUCCCCGGGCUCAACCUGGGAACUGCAUUUGAAAACUGGCAAGCUAGAGUCUCGUAGAGGGGGGUAGAAUUCCAGGUGUAGCGGUGAAAUGCGUAGAGAUCUGGAGGAAUACCGGUGGCGAAGGCGGCCCCCUGGACGAAGACUGACGCUCAGGUGCGAAAAGCGUGGGGAGCAAAACAGGAUUAGAUACCCUGGUAGUCCACGCUGUAAAACGAUGUCGAUUUUGGAGGUUGUGCCCUUGAGGCGUGGCUUCCGGAGCUAACGCGUUAAAUCGACCGCCUGGGGAGUACGGCCGCAAGG